UCAGCUUCUCCCCAGAGCUCGCCGCCUGGCUUCCAGCCCCACGCUGAGCCACAGGCAGCUAUAAGCAAUACUAGGUGCACAACCCUCUCUUCCCCUUUUUUCCUCUUCCUCGUGUGUUUUUAUGAACAUCCAAAGGGAAGAUAAUUAAAACCUGCAAGAACACCGGCUGGCAGCGAAAAAGAAAACCUUGGUGACUCGGGGACGACGCCACAUGUUUAUGGCAAGGGGAAAGGAAUCCUAAUUGUACGAUUUCCUAGCGGCCCAGUAGUUAUGCAGCCAAGGCUCCGCAAGUGACGGGCGCACGGGUGCGCGCACGUGCACACGCGCGCUCCGAAGCCGGGAACCAGAGAAGAGGACCAGGCACCCGAGGGUCUGUAUUUAGCGUGGCAGAGCAGAACAAAGGAGCAGGAGAGCAGGCAUCUCGUCACCUCUCACUGGGUUUGCUGGCUACUAAGCACUCACACUUGAACUCGAAAGACAGAAGUCGUAUCUUUCUCUCCCGAGUGCUGAGGGCUGGCCGAACAGCAUCAAGAUUUGGGUGAGCCAGUGUAAUCCCCUUUCGUUUUUCAUCUGCUUCGCCGAUUGUAAAGAGAAACAGGGCCGCCCGCCGCUCUGCAUGUGACACAAGGCUUGAGGCACACACAUUCCAGAGUGGCCUUCCCCGGGAGCCAGCUGUGCGCAGGUCUUGCUAACACUGCUGUUUGAACGUGGAGCAAUGUUAAUAUCAGGUAGCUGACAAACAUUAUUACCCAAAGUUAGAACUACCCUAGAGGAGAACUCCGUCUGCCAAGUGCUAACAGCUAGCAGAUGCACUUGUGUCUCGGGAUUCCAGCCCUGGAGUUCCGCUAGGCACUGCGCUGGUUCCCUCUGCUCUCCCUCACGGUACUACCCGGAGCUCCGAGCUCAGCCUCUGCUCUGAAGAAAACUGGAGAGCAAGGCCUUGAUGACAGGAGAUUGUCUUUUUGUGUUCCCAAGACUCUGCACACGGUCAGCCUUAUUCGGUGUCUGCUGAACAGGGAAUGGAUACAGGGGAGGGUCCAACGGGAAACUCUCGUCAGCUUGUGACAGGAGGUCUUCUGAUGGUGCGUCUUCGAAAUCCCAAAGGGGAAAAUGAAAAGGAGAAAUUCUCAGAAGAGGUUCUCACAUCGUGGUGCCCGGAUCAACAUCACCAGGGAACUUGUCAGAAAUGCAAACACUGGGGUGCCUGGGUGGCUCAGUCGGUGAAGCGUCUGCCUUUGGCUCAGGGUCCUGGCAUCGAGCCCCACGUCGGGCUCCUCAC